AAUCAACUACCUUGUAUGAUGUAAUUUGCAUACAGCAGAGGUCCAUGCGGCUGCGCGCUCCAGGCUCGUCAGUAGAAGGAAAUAUUUUUUGGCGGAAGGUCGCAACAACUUUGAUGCGCUGAACCUGAUAAGAAGUCCAGUUAUUUACCAAGGAACAAGCAAGAAAGAACAUUCGUAGCGUUUAUAAUGCCUUCUGGGUGCGAAGACUCCUUCUUGUACGAAGAGGUCGAGCUGAAUUCCCCCGAAAGCUUGUACGGCAAAGAUCCCUUUCUCGAGCUGUUACCAAAAGAGCUACGCUUGAUGAACGGUGGUCAGCCGGCAAGGCACCCCCUUAGCCCUACUGAACAUCCCUUGAAAGGGUCCAGCUUGCUGGGCCUAUCUGAUCCCCUGAACCUGAGCAUGGGGCCGCCCAGCAUCACCACAACCACUUCUACCAGUACCCCUACGUAUGAAUCAGCUCUAAGCAUUAAUACGUCAAUGCAAGGGGUAAGUAAUACCAUGGUAAGUGGUGUCCUAAGCCCAUCCUCUCUCUCCCCCUUGGGGCAAAGUGAGUUGGCUA